rnacentral:rRNA from 1 species
GCGUAACUUUAACUCCCAAAAUACCAUUAAUUUUUAUGAACCCCUAAUUUAUAAUGAAUGACUCCAUAUUUAUAUGGAAGACACCAUGCUAGGAUUAGUAACAAGAAUUUAUAAUUCUCCAAAAUGCAAAUAUAAACCAACAUGGAUAGACCAUUGGUAGUUACCGAACCUAAAUUCAAUGCAAUAACAUCCACAAGAAAACUCUGCAGUACUCACUCGUUAACCUAACACCAGCGCAUUACAGGAAAGAUUUAAAAAAAGAGAAGGAAUUCGGCAAAUGACGGCCCCGCCUGUUUACCAAAAACAUCGCCUCUUGACUUAUAAUAAGAGGUCCAGCCUGCCCAGUGAAUUUUAAACGGCCGCGGUAUCCUAACCGCGCGAAGGUAGCAUAAUCACUUGUUCUUUAAAUGGGGACUUGUAUCAACGGCAUCACGAGGGUUUUACUGUCUCCUCUUUUUGAUCAGUGAAAUUGAUCUUCCCGUGAAGAAGCGGGAAUAUUUUUAUAAGACGAGAAGACCCCAUGGAGCUUUAAACCAAAUAACAACUUAACCACUUAUCCCAUAAUAAAUUUAAGCCCUGUUAUAAGGUUUUUGGUUGGGGUGACCGCGGAGUAAAGCACAUCCUCCACGACGGAAAGAACAGAAUCUUUAUUUAAGAACCACACUUCUAGAAAUUAGUAUACUAACGUUUACUGACCCGACAAUCGAUCAACGGACCAAGUUACCCUGGGGAUAACAGCGCAAUCUACUUCAAGAGCUCAUAUCGACAAGUAGGCUUACGACCUCGAUGUUGGAUCAGGGUAUCCCGGUGGUGCAGCCGCUACCGAAGGUUCGUUUGUUCAACGAUUAAAACCCUACGUGA